rnacentral:rRNA from 1 species
GACGAACGCUGGCGGCGUGCUUAACACAUGCAAGUCGAACGGAAAGGCACUGCUCUUGCGGGGUGCUCGAGUGGCGCAAGCGUGAGAAACACGCGUGUACCCUGUCCUUGACACUGGGAUAUCAUCAGGAAAAUGGGCCUCUAAUCGGAUAGGCGACCCUGCUGCGUGGUGUGGGUUGGUAAGUUUCGGCGGUGGGGGAUGGACUCGCGGCUUAUCAGCGUGUUGGUGGGGUAGUGGCUUACCAAGGCUUUGACGGGUAGCCGGCCUGAGAGGGUGACCGGCCACAAUGGGACUGAGAUACGGCCCAGACUCCUACGGGAGGCAGCAGUGGGGAAUAUUGCACAAUGGGCGGAAGCCUGAUGCAGCAACGCCGCGUGCGGGAUGACGGCCUUCGGGUUGUAAACCGCUUUCGCCAGGGACGAAGCGUGAGUGACGGUAAUGGGUAAAGAAGCACCGGCUAACUACGUG